rnacentral:tRNA from 1 species
GGGUGGACAGCGGCGAACACCGACGAGCUUCAAGCUUUGUUUUUAUUGGAUUUUACGCUUUUCGAAAACCGCAGAUUUCCGUUAUUCCCAUCCUUCACACGGGUGGGGUCGCAAGUUCAAUCCUUGCCGCGCCCACCA